UACGUAGGGGGCAAGCGUUUGUCCGGAAUUAUUGGGCGUAAAGAGCGCGUAGGCGGUCCGAUAAGUCGGCUGUGAAAGUCAGGGGCUCAACCCUUGAAAGCCGGCCGAUACUGUCGGACUAGAGUUCGGAAGAGGCAAGUGGAAUUCCCGGUGUAGCGGUGAAAUGCGCAGAUAUCAGGAGGAACACCGGUGGCGAAGGCGGGUCUCUGGGCAGUACUGACGCUGAGGAGCGAAAGCGUGGGGAGCGAACAGG
rnacentral:rRNA from 1 species